CAGUAGCCGCGGUAAUACGUAGGUCCCGAGCGUUGUCCGGAUUUAUUGGGCGUAAAGCGAGCGCAGGCGGUUAGAUAAGUCUGAAGUUAAAGGCUGUGGCUUAACCAUAGUACGCUUUGGAAACUGUUCAACUUGAGUGCAAGAGGGGAGAGUGGAAUUCCAUGUGUAGCGGUGAAAUGCGUAGAUAUAUGGAGGAACACCGGUGGCGAAAGCGGCUCUCUGGCUUGUAACUGACGCUGAGGCUCGAAAGCGUGGGGAGCAAACAGGAUUAGAUACCCGCGUAGUCCCUGUCUCUUAUACA
rnacentral:rRNA from 1 species